ACAGAGCCGUCCCGCUGCAGGUUGCGCGCUAACCGGCCUGGGCGCCCGCUCCGUUGGGGGCCCGCCCCCUUCGCCGACCACGUGACCCCAGUUCGGUAACCUCUGACCUCCUCCUCCCUGCCCCCCCCACCUCUCGAGCUGGGAUGAAGCGCGGCCGGGUGGGAGGAUGCGCUUCACGGAGGCCGGCAGAGCAGGUGUUUACUGAGGGUGUGUUAUGUGCAGACACCGUGCCUGACGCUGGGGAUGCAAAGCUCCAUCGGGGCCAUGUCGGAGCGAGAAGAGCGGCGGUUCGUGGAGAUCCCUCGGGAGUCCGUCCGGCUCAUGGCGGAGAGCACAGGCCUGGAGCUGAGCGAUGAGGUGGCGGCCCUGCUCGCAGAGGACGUGUGCUACCGACUCAGAGAGGCCACCCAGAAUAGCUCUCAAUUCAUGAAACACACCAAACGGCGGAAGCUGACUGUCGAGGAUUUCAACAGGGCGCUCCGAUGGAGCAGUGUGGAGGCGGUGUGCGGUUAUGGAUCUCAGGAGGCGCUGCCCCUGCGCCCCGCCAGGGAGGGUGAGCUCUACUUCCCCGAGGACCGAGAGGUGAACCUGGUGGAGCUGGCCCUGGCUACCAACAUCCCCAAAGGCUGUGCUGAGACGGCCCUGAGAGUUCAUGUCUCCUACCUGGAUGGCAAAGGGAACCUGGCCCCUCAAGGAUCAGUGCCUAGUGCUGUGUCUUCACUGACCGAUGACCUCCUCAAGUACUACCAGCAAGUGACUCGGGCUGUGCUGGGGGAUGAUCCACAGCUGAUGAAAAUUGCUCUCCACGACCUGCAGACCAACUCCAAGAUUGCAGCGCUCCUGCCAUACUUUGUUUAUGUGGUCAGCGGGGUGAAAUCUGUAAGCCAUGACCUGGAGCAGCUGCACCGGCUCUUGCAAGUGGCACGGAGCCUGGUUCGGAACCCACACCUCUGCCUGGUGCCCUAUGUCCGCUCCCUGGUGGGCAGCGUCCUCUACUGUGUCCUGGAGCCACUGGCUGCCUCCAUCAACCCGCUGAAUGACCACUGGACGCUUCGGGAUGGCGCUGCCCUCCUACUGAGCCACAUCUUCUGGACUUAUGGGGACCUUGUAAAUGGCCUUUAUCAGCAGAUCCUGCUCUCCCUGCAGAAAGUCUUGGCGGAUCCUGUGAGGCCUCUCUGCUCUCACUACGGGGCUGUGGUGGGGCUGCAUGCUCUUGGCUGGAAGGCAGUAGAGAGAGUCCUGUACCCACACCUGUCCACUUACUGGACAAAUCUACAGGCUGUGCUCGAUGAUUAUUCAGUAUCGAAUGCCCAGGUUAAAGCAGAUGGGCACAAAGUCUAUGGAGCCAUUCUGGUGGCCGUAGAGCGACUGCUGAAGAUGAAGGCCCAGGCAGCAGAGCCUAACAAGGGUGGGCCAGGCAGCAGGGGGUGCCGGCGCUCUGACGACCUGCCCUGGGACAGCCUUCUCCUGCAGGAGUCUCCCUCCGGGGGCAGUGCAGAGCCAGGCUUUGGGUCUGGUCUCCCAAUGGCUCUUGGAGGCGUGGGGCCAGAGGAUCCUUCCCCUUCGGUGACCCUGGCGGACAUCUACCGGGAGCUCUACGCCUUCUUCGGUGACAGCUUAGCCACUCGCUUUGGCACGGGUCAACCCGCGCCCACGGCUCCGCGGCCGCCCGGGGACAAGAAGGAGCCGGCCACCGCCCCGGACUCGGUGCGGAAGAUGCCGCAGCUGACAGCCAACGCCAUGGUCAGCCCGCAGGGCGACGAAAGCCCCCGGGGCGGUGGCCCCCCGUCAGCCUCUGCGCCCACCGCCUCUGAGAGCAGGCCGCUGCCCCGCGUGCACCGGGCGCGGGGAGCACCCCGGCAGCAGGGCCCAGGCACCGGCACCCGCGACGUCUUCCAGAAGAGCCGUUUCGCCCUGCGCGGUGCCCCUUACUUCCGUUUCAUCAUCGCUGGGCGGCAAGCAGGGAGACGAUGCCGCGGGCGCCUCUUCCAGACUGCCUUCCCCGCGCCGUACGGGCCCAGCCCGGCCUCCCGUUACGUGCAGAAGCUGCCCAUGAUCGGCCGCACCGGCCGCCCGGCCCGCCGCUGGGCGCUCUCGGACUACUCGCUGUACCUGCCGCUUUGACGAGGCUCUCGCCUUCGCCUCUGUAAAUAAAUCCCGCGCCCGGAAAUGACGUUUCCGCGCUCGUGGGUCGCGCCGGAUGAGGCGGGGCUUGGUCAGUUGGCUCCUUCGGUGGCGCUUCCUGGUGUCGGGGAAGUCAUGGCGCUGCCCUGGUUGCAGCGCAUCGAACUCGCGUUCUUCGCUACCGCCUUCGUAUGCGGAGCCGUGGCGGCCGCGGCGCUGACCCGGACCCAGGUGUGCGGUGGCGGUACGGGGCCGGCCGUCAGGUUGGGGCUCCUUCAGGGGCAGCUGUCCUCUGUAUGGCGUGGCCGCCCUGAACGGCUCCUCUCUGGUCUUGUCCAAACCCGCGGCCCCAUCCCUCUGCUCCUUCGUGGCAGGGGCCUCGGGCCUGCUGGCCCUCUACUGCCUCCUGCUCCUGCUCUUCUGGGUCUACACCAGCUGCAUCGAGGGCUCCCACAGAGGCCCUAUCGGGCUCCGCUUUGCACUGGCCACCUCAGCUAUAGCCAUCUUCCUGGUCUUAGUGUGUGCCUGUAUCCUUCGAUUUGGCACCAGUUCCCUGUGCAAAUCCAUCAUCUCCCUGAACAUGACUAGCUGCUCUGAUGCCCAGAAAACUCCGUGGAAACCCCCUGGAACCGCUGUGCAGUUUUACUCCAACCUACAUAAUGCUGAAACUUCUUCCUGGGUGAAUCUGGUAUUGUGGUGUGUGGUCUUGGUGCUCCAGGUUGUGCAGUGGAAGUCUGAAGCCACCCCAAACCGGCCUCUGCAGAGGGGGAACUCAGAGUGGAGCUCUGAGACAGAUGCUCUUGUUGGGCCACGCCUUUUCCAUUCCUGAAGACUAA